UACGUAGGGGGCGAGCGUUGUCCGGAUUUAUUGGGCGUAAAGAGCGUGUAGGCGGCCAGGUAGGUCUGCUGUGAAAACUCGAGGCUCAACCUCGAGACGUCGGCGGAAACCAUCUGGCUAGAGUCCGGAAGAGGAGAGUGGAAUUCCUGGUGUAGCGGUGAAAUGACGCAGAUAUCAGGAAGAACACCCGUGGCGAAGGCGGCUCUCUGGGACGGUACUGACGCUGAGACGCGAAAGCGUGGGGAGCAAACAGG
rnacentral:rRNA from 1 species